rfam:Macrostomum lignano uti_cns_0002426, whole genome shotgun sequence.
GGGGUUGUAGCCUAGUGGUCGGAGCGUCGGAUUCACGACUUGAAGGUUGGGGGUUCGAUUCCCGAUCCCA